CCUACGGGUGGCAGCAGUGGGGAAUAUUGGACAAUGGGCGAAAGCCUGAUCCAGCCAUGCCGCAUGUGUGAAGAAGGCCUUCGGGUUGUAAAGCACUUUCAGUGGGGAAGAAAGCCUUGGGGCUAAUACCCUCGAGGAAGGACAUCACCCACAGAAGAAGCACCGGCUAACUCCGUGCCAGCAGCCGCGGUAAUACGGAGGGUGCGAGCGUUAAUCGGAAUUACUGGGCGUAAAGCGCGCGUAGGCGGUCUGAUAAGCCGGUUGUGAAAGCCCCGGGCUCAACCUGGGAACGGCAUCCGGAACUGUCAGGCUAGAGUGCAGGAGAGGAAGGUAGAAUUCCCGGUGUAGCGGUGAAAUGCGUAGAGAUCGGGAAGAAUACCAGUGGCGAAGGCGGCCUUCUGGACUGACACUGACGCUGAGGUGCGAAAGCGUGGGUAGCAAACAGGAUUAGAUACCCGUGUAGUC
rnacentral:rRNA from 1 species